AUUGAACGCUGGCGGCAUGCCUUACACAUGCAAGUCGAACGGUAACGGGCCUUCGGGUGCCGACGAGUGGCGAACGGGUGAGUAAUGUAUCGGAACGUACCUUUCAGUGGGGAUAACGUAGCGAAAGUUACGCUAAUACCGCAUAUUCUGUGAGCAGGAAAGCAGGGGAUCGCAAGACCUUGCGCUGAUUGAGCGGCCGAUAUCAGAUUAGCUAGUUGGUGAGGUAAAGGCUCACCAAGGCGACGAUCUGUAGCGGGUCUGAGAGGAUGAUCCGCCACACUGGAACUGAGACACGGUCCAGACUCCUACGGGAGGCAGCAGUGGGGAAUUUUGGACAAUGGGGGCAACCCUGAUCCAGCCAUGCCGCGUGAGUGAAGAAGGCCUGCGGGUUGUAAAGCUCUUUCGGCCGGGAAGAAAUCGUAUGGGUUAAUACCCUGUGCGGAUGACGGUACCGGCAUAAGAAGCACCGGCUAACUACGUGCCAGCAGCCGCGGU
rnacentral:rRNA from 1 species